CUUCAAAAAGUGAGAGUGCAAUUCAGCUUCAAACACAUGACCAAACUUUCCUAUCAAUCUAUCUUCAUAAUCAAUAUUAGCAAACAUGUCAACAAGCAAAAACAUCAUACUCAAGAUCACUUUCAUCUACAAACAAUCAAUCAGGAACGCAAUGCAAUUCAUUCAACAUUUAUCCAUCAGGUUCAAAUCUCUCUCUUCACACAAUCUCACCAAAUUCUCUCAAGUGUUUAAGGGUUAAGAAUAUCACUCAAAUCGUAGAUCAUGCAUCCUCCUACCAUAGGCUUGAAAGAAUUCUAUACAGCAAUCACAAUAUAAUUAUGCAUACACUUUCAGAGGACUUUUUGGGUUAUAACGGGGCUUAGGUGAAGGUGGGAUAUUUUUGGAUAGUAGGCUAAAGACUUGGAGUUAGAUAGACUAUCUNNNNNNNNNNNNNNNNNNNNNNNNNNNNNNNNNNNNNNNNNUUGUUACAAUUCACACCAAAACCUUUAAUAAGAUAAAACUUGAGAGCUUAGAGAACUGUUGUCUAAUCACAACCUUUAGCACAAAAAUUUAAAUGCAUAUUUUUGGCUUUUUUUUUUCUUCCAAUUUUUCUUUCUUUCUUUCAAUUUUUUUCAAUUCUCUUUUUUUUCUUUUCUUUUUUCUCUUUCACAGUUCUUCAAUUUUUUGUGUUUGCUCUCUCUUUUCCCCAAAACCAUUCAUUCUUCUUUCAAUUGUCACCCCAAACUUAAAGGUUGCUAUCCCAUGAGCAACCCCAAACUUAAAAUUUUAUCAAGACUCCAUGAGAAAUCCCUAACUAACUCCAAGUAAGGAGGGUAUAUUUUUUUUUCCGGUCUUUGGCUUGUAAUGUGGCUCAGUAACACAAUAAAAGGG
rnacentral:lncRNA from 1 species